AUCUGGGCGGCGGAAUUCAGGAUAGCCGGGCGGGCCUCGCGCUCGUCCGGCUGUUUGAUAUUUCCGUCGCCGUGUCAGACGUCGCGACCUGUUCGUCGUCGGUCCUUGCUCGGAGGAAUCGCGUUCGAGUUCGUUGCGGGUGCGUUUCGGCGUGUCCCGCGGCGAAGGCGCGUCUUUCUGGCUGACGACGGACAGUAGGCAACGGUGUCCGGCGUCGUGUCUCGCACUCGACGUCGGUACCGGUCGGCGACGAUUUCUUCGGGCCUCUUUCCGACCCGUCUUGAAACACGGACCAAGGAGUCUAACAUGCGCGCGAGUCGCGGGGUUUCGAGCGUGCCACGGUGCGCUCGUUACUUCCGAAACCCGUACGUUGAAGGCGUAAUGAAAGUGAACAGGGAAGAUGGCGUUCCUAGUCCACGUACCGUGAUCGAGUAUCGCGGCCGGACGCCCGCACUCCCGGGGCGUCUCAAUGGUUCGUCGCGGAUGCGGACGGUCGUCUUUCGGGGCGGCCGUCGGUCUGCGACGGUCCGA
rnacentral:rRNA from 1 species